AGCGAACGCUGGCGGCAGGCCUAAUACAUGCAAGUCGAACGGUCUCUUUGGAGGCAGUGGCGGACGGGUGAGUAACGCGUGGGAAUAUGCCCUUUGGUACGGAACAACUGAGGGAAACUUCAGCUAAUACCGUAUGUGCCCUUCGGGGAAAGAUUUAUCGCCAUUGGAGUAGCCCGCGUUGGAUUAGAUAGUUGGUGGGGUAAAGGCCUACCAAGCCUACGAUCCAUAGCUGGUCUGAGAGGAUGAUCAGCCACACUGGGACUGAGACACGGCCCAGACUCCUACGGGAGGCAGCAGUAGGGAAUCUUGCGCAAUGGGCGAAAGCCUGACGCAGCCAUGCCGCGUGAAUGAUGAAGGUCUUAGGAUUGUAAAAUUCUUUCACCGGGGAAGAUAAUGACGGUACCCGGAGAAGAAGCCCCGGCUAACUUCGUG
rnacentral:rRNA from 1 species